AACUCGGUGGUGAAAUCGAAUCAUAUCCGGCUCAGACUCUCAGUUUAAAGUGAUGCACCAUGGUCAUGGUCGCGGAAGGCACCCGUUCAAUCCGGGCCCGAGUUA